rnacentral:rRNA from 1 species
CGCCUGUUUAUCAAAAACAUGUCCUUUUGUUUUUAUAUGAGGUCUGGCCUGCCCAAUGACUUGUUUUAAUGGCUGCGGUAUUUUAACUGUACUAAGGUAGCAUAAUCAUUUGUCUUUUAAUUGAGGGCUAGUAUGAAUGGUUGGACGAAACAUAAUCUUUCUUUAAUUUAUUAUUUGAAUUUAAUCUUUCAGUUAAAAAGCUGAAAUGUUCUUUUAGGACGAGAAGACCCUAUAGAUCUUUAUAUUUAUUUAAUUAUACUGUUUAGUUGGUUAUUUGUUUUAAUUAAUAAAAUAUUUGGUUGGGGUGACUUUAGAAUUUAAAUAACUUCUAUUUUAUUUGUUCAUUAAUUAGUGUUUUUAUGAUCCAUUUUUAUUGAUUAAAAGAUUAAGUUACCUUAGGGAUAACAGCGUUAUUUCUUCGGAAAGUUCUUAUUGAUGAAGGAGUUUGCGACCUCGAUGUUGGAUUAGAAUAAGCGGUAGGUGUAAGAGUUUACUGGCUAGGUCUGUUCGACCUUUAAUAUUUUACAUGAUCUGAGUUCAAACCGGAG